rnacentral:rRNA from 1 species
AGUGUUUUCCGCGUUGGACCGCACACAAGUCUGUUGGAAUACAGCGGCAUAGUGGUGAGACCCCCGUAUAUGGUGCGGACGCCCAACGCUUUGUGAUACACUUUCGAAGAGUCGAGUUGUUUGGGAAUGCAGCUCAAAUUGGGUGGUAAAUUCCAUCUAAAGCUAAAUAUUGGCGAGAGACCGAUAGCGAACAAGUACCGUGAGGGAAAGAUGAAAAGCACUUUGGAAAGAGAGUUAACAGUACGUGAAAUUGUUGGAAGGGAAACGCUUGAAGUCAGACUUGCUUGCCGAGCAAUCGGUUUGCAGGCCAGCAUCAGUUUUCCGGGGUGGAUAAUGGUAGAGAGAAGGUAGCAGUUUCGGCUGUGUUAUAGCUCUCUGCUGGAUACACCUUGGGGGACUGAGGAACGCAGUGUGCCUUACGGCGGAUUUCUCGAGAUCUUCACACUUAGGAUGCUGGUGGAAUGGCUUUAAACGACC